UACGUAGGUGGCAAGCGUUAUCCGGAAUUAUUGGGCGUAAAGAGCGCGCAGGUGGUUGAUUAAGUCUGAUGUGAAAGCCCACGGCUUAACCGUGGAGGGUCAUUGGAAACUGGUCGACUUGAGUGCAGAAGAGGGAAGUGGAAUUCCAUGUGUAGCGGUGAAAUGCGUAGAGAUAUGGAGGAACACCAGUGGCGAAGGCGGCUUCCUGGUCUGUAACUGACACUGAGGCGCGAAAGCUAGGGGAGCAAACAGGGUUAGGAUACCCU
rnacentral:rRNA from 1 species